rnacentral:rRNA from 1 species
GCGAUACCUAGUGUGAAUUGCAGAAUUCCGCGAAUCAUCGAGUUUUUGAACGCAAGUUGCGCCCGAGGCUUGUUCCAAGGGCAUGCCUGCCUGAGCGUCCGC